rnacentral:lncRNA from 1 species
GCCUGAGUCUCUUGGAGUGUUUACUUCUUGGAUGCUCCUGCAGGGAAGCUGUUAUUCUGAGAGGAUUUUAAACCAAACAGAGGGGCCAAGGGAAUUAGUAAAUAAGCUGAAAAUGUGAAGUCAUGCAAAGAUUUGUUUGAAAAGCAAAACGUUUCAAUAAAAGGUCUUCCUGGAUUAAGAAUCUAAGUAUGAUUUUCAUGAACCACCACCACUAAAGAUCAGAUAAUAUUAUUCAUGCUGCAAUUUGAAAGAGAAGCAAGAGGAAGAUCAGACCGACUCUGCCACUGCAUAAAAUCAUCCCCCUGGGAAUGAACAAAGCAUUCCGAGAAUGAGAAAUGGAAUAUUGGUGACUUCCUGGCUAACAGUUCCAUCUAGAGUCAACUGCGGUCAUGAUUUUCCAAUAACAGCCUGUUACUAAACCAAGAGAGGGAACCAACAAUGCCUGAGAAGAUUUGCAAGAACUUUGCCCAGCUGAGGCCCUUAAUGGAUGCAAUGAGGACAACUAACUCAAUCAAAUUCUCUUUUUGAAAGAAGAAUAAACUCUAAGUAAAGGGAAAGCACUACAGAGUAAACUGCUUGGUGAUGGUGCUAUUUCAGCAGUGUUAUAGAUCACAAAGGAAGAAUUCAACAAUAUUUAAGUUGAACAAUUUUGUAUAAGACAACCUACUGAAAAUAGAUUCCUCACAAUUCAGAAGUCCAUUUACCAAAAAGGAGCCCACUUUAUAUUCAUG